UUAAUUAAGUCAUGAAGGAGAUGGAGUGUUUGGUGUAUUGAGCUGUGAGGAGAAAAAGGCUUGGUGGAAUUGAGGGUCCUUGUUGUUCCAAGCUGAGAAGGAUUGGAAUGAGCUAUGAAUUAGGAAUUAUAAAAGAGAAAAAGAAAGCAAAAUGCUGAAAUUCCUGCUGUGAAGGAAUUUCCUACUAAUUGGAGCUGCCGAAUUGGAGGAUUGGGCUAUUUGAAGCACUAAGAAGUGGGCUGUGAAAAGAAUGUGAAGUGCAGAAUUUCAGCAUACAAUUCUUGCUUAUUGGAGCUAAAAUAGAACUUGGUAGAGCUUUAAACUCAGUGGCUGCACAAAGGGAGGUAUUAGCGCUGAAAUUUCAGCAUGGUGCAGAUCUUACUACAAGCU